GCAGCAGUGGGGAAUAUUGCACAAUGAGCGCAAGCCUGAUGCAGCCAUGCCGCGUGUAUGAAGAAGGCCUUCGGGUUGUAAAGUACUUUCAGCGGGGAGGAAGGUGUUGAGGUUAAUAACCUCAGCAAUUGACGUUACCCGCAGAAGAAGCACCGGCUAACUCCGUG
rnacentral:rRNA from 1 species